rnacentral:rRNA from 1 species
GAUGAACGCUGGCGGCGUGCUUAACACAUGCAAGUCGAACGAAGCACUCUAUUCGAUUUUCUUCGGAAAUGGAGAUUUUGUGACUGAGUGGCGGACGGGUGAGCAACGCGUGGGUAACCUGCCUCAUACAGGGGGAUAACAGUUGGAAACGACUGCUAAUACCGCAUAAGCGCACAGUAUUGCGUGAUACAGUGUGAAAAACUCCGGUGGUAUGAGAUGGACCCGCGUCUGAUUAGCUAGUUGGUGGGGCAACGGCCUACCAGGGCGGCGAUCAGUAGGCGGCGUGGGAGGGUGAGCAGCCACAUUGGAACUGAGCAACGGCCCAAACUGCUAGCGGAGUAAGCAGUGGGUAAUAUUGAAAAAUGAGGGAAACCCUGAUGCAGCGACGCCGAGUGAACGAAGAAGUAUUUCGGUCUGUAAAGUUCUAUCAGUAGGGAAGAAAAUGACGGUACCUAACUAAGAAGCCCCGGCUACCUACGUGCAAGCCGCCGCCGUAA